ensembl:snRNA U2 U2 spliceosomal RNA
AUUGCUUCUCAGCUAUUUGGCUAAGAUCAAGUGUAUUAUCUGUUCUUAUUAGUUUAAUAUCUGAUAUUUCUCUAUCUGAGAAAGCAAUAUUAAGUGGAUUUUUGGAAACGGAUGGUGAGCUUGCUCUAUCUACUACAUGCAUCAUUCUGGUAUUGCAGUACUUCCAGGAAAGGUGUACUGCCA